AUUGAACGCUGGCGGCAGGCCUAACACAUGCAAGUCGAACGGUAACAGGAAGAAGCUUGCUUCUUUGCUGACGAGUGGCGGACGGGUGAGUAAUGUCUGGGAAACUGCCUGAUGGAGGGGGAUAACUACUGGAAACGGUAGCUAAUACCGCAUAACGUCGCAAGACCAAAGAGGGGGACCUUCGGGCCUCUUGCCAUCGGAUGUGCCCAGAUGGGAUUAGCUAGUAGGUGGGGUAACGGCUCACCUAGGCGACGAUCCCUAGCUGGUCUGAGAGGAUGACCAGCCACACUGGAACUGAGACACGGUCCAGACUCCUACGGGAGGCAGCAGUGGGGAAUAUUGCACAAUGGGCGCAAGCCUGAUGCAGCCAUGCCGCGUGUAUGAAGAAGGCCUUCGGGUUGUAAAGUACUUUCAGCGGGGAGGAAGGGAGUAAAGUUAAUACCUUUGCUCAGUGACGUUACCCGCAGAAGAAGCACCGGCUAACUCCG
rnacentral:rRNA from 1 species